rnacentral:rRNA from 1 species
AUGUUUGGUUGUGCAUCAUGUCAUGUUUAUGUGUUGUGUGUUUACCGUGGUGUUUGCUUCUUUCCGGUUGUGCUUCUUCUCGAUAGUUCCUGUUUCGUUGCGAUCGUGAGGAUUCGUUCGACUACGCUUGGUUCGUCUUCGCCCGUUCAUCUUCUUCAUGGACUCGUUCUUCUUCCUAGCGGGAUUUCAGACAAGAUGACCGUUUCCCUGGAUCUCACUACUAUCAUUGUUAUGCUAGUUGAUUCGUUCUAUCGCUAUGCUGCGCUACCUAUCACUUGUUUAUCAAGCCUCCCAAAAUUGGCAUGUCAGCCUCUAACCUUCUCACCCUUCCUAGCAAACCAUUGUUUGGCUAUGUUACCGCUUUUGCUCAGCCCCUCUUAUAGCGUUGUUAGUUGUAGGUGA